UUACGGCCAUAUCACGUUGAAACAGCAGUUCUGGUACGAUCACCGACUUUAAGCAACGUCGAGCUUGUUCAGUACCGAGAUAGAUGGCCACUUAGGAAUACCUGGUGCAGUAA